CGGAAUUAUGAACCAAAUUAUUACAUUCCAAUUACUAACUAAUACCCCUCAAGGAAAAACCUGAAUUGGGUCCCAAAUUGACAGGUUAGAGUGAGGUGAGCUUAUCCACGCAAUUAUACACUCUUCAAAUAAGAAUUCAUUUUAUGAAAGAUAAUGGCUUUCACACUUUGACAGCUCCUCUUUAUCCAAGAAACCAGACAAAGAGAAGAAAUGCGAGGGUUUAAUUGGACGACUU
rnacentral:lncRNA from 1 species